GACGAACGCUGGCGGCGUGCUUAACACAUGCAAGUCGAACGAUGACGACCGAGCUUGCUCGGUCUGAUUAGUGGCGAACGGGUGAGUAACACGUGAGCAACCUGCCCUUCACUCUGGGAUAAGCUCGGGAAAUCGGGGCUAAUACCGGAUAUGAGCUCCUGUCGCAUGGCGGGUGUUGGAAAGUUUUUCGGUGAAGGAUGGGCUCGCGGCCUAUCAGUUUGUUGGUGAGGUAGUGGCUCACCAAGGCGAUGACGGGUAGCCGGCCUGAGAGGGCGACCGGCCACACUGGGACUGAGACACGGCCCAGACUCCUACGGGAGGCAGCAGUGGGGAAUAUUGCACAAUGGGCGAAAGCCUGAUGCAGCGACGCCGCGUGAGGGAUGACGGCCUUCGGGUUGUAAACCUCUUUCAGCAGGGAAGAAGCGAAAGUGACGGUACCUGCAGAAGAAGCGCCGGCUAACUACGU
rnacentral:rRNA from 1 species